rnacentral:rRNA from 1 species
AUUGAACGCUGGCGGCAUGCCUUACACAUGCAAGUCGAACGGCAGCACGGGAGCAAUCCUGGUGGCGAGUGGCGAACGGGUGAGUAAAGUAUCGGAACGUGCCCAGUCGUGGGGGAUAACGUAGCGAAAGCUACGCUAAUACCGCAUACGAUCUAUGGAUGAAAGCGGGGGACCGUAAGGCCUCGCGCGAUUGGAGCGGCCGAUAUCAGAUUAGGUAGUUGGUGAGGUAAAGGCUCACCAAGCCGACGAUCUGUAGCUGGUCUGAGAGGACGACCAGCCACACUGGGACUGAGACACGGCCCAGACUCCUACGGGAGGCAGCAGUGGGGAAUUUUGGACAAUGGGCGCAAGCCUGACCCAGCAAUGCCGCGUGCAGGAUGAAGGCCUUCGGGUUGUAAACUGCUUUUGUACGGAGCGAAAAGGCUCUCUCUAAUACAGGGGGCUCAUGACGGUACCGUAAGAAUAAGCACCGGCUAACUACGUGCCAGCCGCCGCAGUAACAC